rnacentral:rRNA from 1 species
UACGUAGGGUGCAAGCGUUGUCCGGAAUUAUUGGGCGUAAAGAGCUCGUAGGCGGUCUGUCGCGUCUGCUGUGAAAACUCGGGGCUUAACCCCGGGCCUGCAGUGGGUACGGGCAGACUAGAGUGCGGUAGGGGAGAGUGGAAUUCCCGGUGUAGCGGUGAAAUGCGCAGAUAUCGGGAAGAACACCCGUGGCGAAGGCGGCUCUCUGGAACGCAACUGACGCUGAGACGCGAAAGCGUGGGGAGCAAACAGG